CUCAAGGACAGCAAUUGGGUUGACACUUCAGAUCAUACAAAGGACUUCUUUCCUUCACCCAGUGUGCCUUCUAAUGGGACGGCUCUGUGCAGUUGCCAUUAUUUUGUGUCAUUUCUUCCAUUAUGAUUAUUGUUUAUUUCACAUCAUCAUUUCCUUUUUGCGGGUCUGCUGUUUCCAGUUGUUAACCAGUAGUUUUCCUGGGAUUUGCAUGUCCUUUCCCCACUGCUCCAGGGUGGCACGCUGGCAGGAAGUUCUCACCGGUGCUGAGCGUCCGGGGACAGUCCUGAGAGCGGUGUUCCGGGAGACUGGGGAGCAACCACACUUAAUCUCGAUGGAAGUGAUGUCAAUUGUAAUAGUUUCCGUGCAUCCAGUUCUCAGUCCUUGGACUCUGAACUGGCCUUCUGCCUUAUUUUGACCGGAAGAGCGUGGUGGAAGUGACAGUGUUCCCGUGCGGAGCCGUGACCUUGAGAGGCCUGGCAGGGGCAGGAGUUCCGGGAGUGACCCUGUCACUCUGGAGAUUGUCACUCUGGGCUUGCAGCAGUCAUUCGUGGAGGUCUACUACUUCUUGUUCUAAGGGCCAGAAGUCCAAACUGAGUCAUUUGGGCUAAAAUCAAGAUGUCAGCCAGGACAGUUCCUUCUGGAGGGUCCGGGGGGAAUCCGUUCCUUGCUGCGGCCAGCAGUCAGCGCUCCGUGGCUUGUGGCUGCAUCACUCCAAUCUGCCUCCAAGGCCACCUCUCCUCCUCCUCUGCUUCUGCAGCCAAAUACCCCUCUGCUUCUACCUUAAAAGGGUACUCAUGAUUACAUGUAGGGCCCACCUGGAUACUCUAGGACACUCUCUCCUUCUCAAGACCCGUAGCUUAAUCAUACCUGCCAUAGAAGGUGACAUUCACAGCCUUUGGGAAUUAGGACCUGGCUAUUCUUCAGCCUGUUACAUUGGCUGGACGUGGGGCAGACUUGAAAGUGUUCCUCAGCCGCUGAUUCAUCAGCAAAGGGCAGCACGUCACUGGCUUGGGAGCUGAAGCACAACCUUUGCCCAGUCGGUGGCUGAACCCUAAGCUAUGCUGACUCAGAUGCAACUUCUGGGCAGCCAGGCUUAAAUAUAAGAAGGGGGGGGGGGACUUCCCUUGUGGCACAGUGGUUAAGAAUCCGCCUGCCAAUGCAGGGGACAUGGGUUCGAGCCCUGGUCCGGGAAGAUCCCACAUGCCGCGGAGCAACUAAGCCUGUGUGCCACAACUACUGAGCCUGCGCGUCUGGAGCCUGUGAGCCACAACUACUGAAGCCCACGUACCUAGAGCCCAUGCUCCGCAACAAGAGAAGCCACCGCAAGGAGAAGCCCACGCAGCACAACGAAGAGUAGCCCCCGCUUGCCACAACUAGAGAAAGCCCGUGCGCAGCAACGAAGACCCAGCGCAGCCAAAAAUAAAUAAAUUAAUUAAUUAAUUUUUUAAAAAAAGGAAGGGGGGGAGGGGGCCUGAGUAGUGACGUCAUAAGCUGCACACUGUGGAGAAACAGACUUCACAGAACUGCUGCAGACAAGCCACUGGACUAAUUAACAGCAACAGCAACAAGCCCAAGGAGGGGCCAGCUAAACGUAACCCAGAGUUGCUACAACAGAUCAUUUAAAACGUCCAGUUUUCAGCAAAACACCCUGAGACGUGCAGAGAAAUAGGACAGGGUGAUGGUUGCACAGGAGAGGGAUGCAGCAGUCACUGCCCUUGAAGGGCCAGGUUUUGGAUUCGUAGACAGAGACAUCAAAGCUUCGCUUACACAAAGGCCCAUGAAAGGGGUGGCUGCAGUGGCAGGUGGCGGCGGGCCCCUCUGCCACUGCAAAUACCCCGCCUGCAGCAGCAGAGACCCACAACCUCACUCGCACCCCUUCCACCUGGAGGGGCAGUUAUUUGUUCUGCCCCAAACCAGCCCCUAUUCUGGACACGGCUUUGCCCUCCCUGACAGCUCCUCUCCCAGCACCUUCAUCCCAGGCUUGCCAAACGCCUUACCUCCCGCUGGGUGCUGCUGCACACCAAGGACCCAUCUGAGAGCCAACGGCCCCUGGCAAUGAGCUCAUGACCCCGGGAAUCACUGGUCUUCCCAGGUUCCCCAUCGGCCUAACAGAAUGGAGACAGUCUGUUGAAGGCCCUGCCAUGCUUCCAACUGGCUGUUGACCCCUCUUGGGAUGGGACGCUUGCUGCUGAGAUGCAUCUGUGCUGCCUAAGGGGUCUGGGGUCUGGGGACAGAUUCACUGCGAAGUCAUGAGGCUCAGCUCGGGACUCUUCCAGACCAGGGCCCCAGCAAAGUGUUCACAGGGUCGCACAUUUUGUAAAAUGUGCAAAAGUACAUAAUUUAAUCACAGUCGGUUAAUGCUGUCUCUUCCCAAUGCAACCCGCUUUGGUUCAUUUCCUCCCCUGCCACACGGAACGGGGUGGGGGGAGCGUCGUGGGCUCCACUCAGGGAGGCUGAGUCGGGAGAGCUUUAGUGUGAUUCUGGGGGAACAUUCACUUCCUGGUGUAGUUCAGUUAUUGCUCUCAUUCUGGUAUAGAAGUGGCUGCCAGGAACACACCCGCCCUCUGUGCUCUGUGUCACUACACAUCAAGCUAAUGGAAUUGGCUAAGGAGUGUCGUCAGUUCGAAAACCAUCUAAGUUAGUCACAGACAAGGGCCCCCAAAGGCCCUGAAAUCUUAGGGCUCAUAUGUAAAAGAAAUUUGAUAGAGGUUUUCUCAAAUUUAAUAAUUCUAAAAAUUAUUUACACAAUAUUAGCUAAAGGUGCUGUUACCUGAAAACAACUUUUCUCCUAAGCUGUAAGUUAUAAAAAUAAACUUUGAUGGGACUUCCUUGAUGGUCCAGUGGGUAAGACUCUGCACUCCCAGUGCAGGGGGCCCAGGUUCGAUCCCUGGUCGGGGAACUAGAUCCCGCAUGCAUGCUGCAACUAAGAAGUCAGCAUGCUGCAACUAAGAAGCCCGCAUGCUGCAACUGAAAAGAUCCCAUGUGCCACAACAAAGACCCGGCGCAGCCAAAAUAAAUAAAUAAAAAUAAAUGUAUUAAAUAAAGUAAACUUUGAUUAAGCAUGUUUGUUAGAGGGGAGACUAAAUUAUCCUCUCUAUAUAGAAGGUGACAUCAUGAAAGUGUCAUCAUCUUAAGAGGUGACAGAUUUUGUGUCUGAAAAGCACAGGGGAAACAUGUUAGAGAAAUACGUCAGGAAGUUAAUUGAUGACAUUAUGUUUGUUUCCUGUGUUUUGUGAUGUUUGUGAUAUCAGUCGACUUUAAAAAUUUGUGUUGCAUGUUGGGAUUUCUUUCCUCUAUUCACUUAAUUUUGUAUAUAUGAUUUUGUCCUCUGUUUCUUUUUUUAAAAAAAUAUUUAUUUAUUUAUUAAUAAAAUUAGUUGCGGCACACGGGAUCUUCA